GACGAACGCUGGCGGCACGCUUAACGCAUGCAAGUCGAACGAGAGAAGAGAAGCUUGCUUUUCUGAUCUAGUGGCGGACGGGUGAGUAACACGUGAGCAAUCUGCCUUUCAGAGGGGGAUACCGAUUGGAAACGAUCGUUAAUACCGCAUAACAUAAUUGAACCGCAUGAUUUGAUUAUCAAAGAUUUAUGGCUGAAAGAUGAGCUCGCGUCUGAUUAGCUAGUUGGUAAGGUAACGGCUUACCAAGGCGACGAUCAGUAGCCGGACUGAGAGGUUGAUCGGCCACAUUGGGACUGAGACACGGCCCAGACUCCUACGGGAGGCAGCAGUGGGGAAUAUUGCACAAUGGAGGAAACUCUGAUGCAGCGAUGCCGCGUGAGGGAAGAAGGUUUUAGGAUUGUAAACCUCUGUCUUCAGGGACGAAAAAAGACGGUACCUGAGGAGGAAGCUCCGGCUAACUACGUG
rnacentral:rRNA from 1 species